UAACAAGGAUUCCCCUAGUAACGGCGAGUGAAGCGGGAACAGCUCAAAUUUUAAAUCUGCUGCUUUCAGUCCGAGUUGUAAUUUGAAGGGCUGUCGCUGGCAACGUGGCACAAGUCCUCUGGAACGGGGCAUCGUAGAGGGUGAGAAUCCCGUCUCGGUCAUCAUCUGGCAUACGGCAGGCAUCGAAGAGUCGAGUUGUUUGGGAUUGCAGCUCCAAUGGGUGGUAAACUCCAUCUAAGGCUAAUAUUGGCGAGAGACCGAUAGCGAACAAGUACCGUGAGGGAAAGAUGAAAGAACUUUGAAAGAGAGUAAAACAGUACGUGAAAUUGUUGAAAGGGAAACGCUUGAAG
rnacentral:rRNA from 1 species